rnacentral:rRNA from 1 species
CCCGCUGAACUUAAGCAUAUCAAUAAGCGGAGGAAAAGAAACUAACAAGGAUUCCCCUAGUAACUGCGAGUGAAGAGGGAAAAGCUCAAAUUUAAAAUCUGGCAGUCUUUGAUUGUCCGAGUUGUAAUUUAGAGAAGUGUUACCCGUGUUGGCCCGUGUACAAGUUUCCUGGAAUGGAACGUCAUAGAGGGUGAGAAUCCCGUCUUUGACACGGACUACCAAUGCAUUGUGGUAUGCUCUCGAAGAGUCGAGUUGUUUGGGAAUGCAGCUCUAAAUGGGUGGUAAAUUCCAUCUAAAGCUAAAUAUUGGGGAGAGACCGAUAGCGAACAAGUACCGUGAGGGAAAGAUGAAAAGAACUUUGGAAAGAGAGUUAAACAGUACGUGAAAUUGCUGAAAGGGAAACGCUUGAAGUCAGUCGCGUCAUCCAGGGAUCAACCUUGCUUUUGCUUGGUGCACUUUCUGGUUUGAUGGGUCAGCAUCAAUUUUGACCAUUGGAAAAAGGUCAAGGGAAUGUGGCAUCUUUGGAUGUGUUAUAGCCCUUGGUCACAUACAAUGGUUGGGAUUGAGGAACUCAGCAUGCCGCAAGGCCGGGUUUUUAACCACGUUCAUGCUUAGGAUGCUGGCAAUAUGGCUUUAAUCGACCCGUCUUGAAACACGG